rnacentral:lncRNA from 1 species
GCAUUGUGGAAGUCAACAAGUAAGUUUUGUUAAAUUUGAGUAAGAAGACCUGUUUGUUUCCUCAAGUUGCUUAUAAUCUAGGUGAGGACACAUCUGAGAGAAUAACUAAUAGUUCAGUGAAGCUCCCAAGGAGGCAGCAGAAACUGGGGUAAUCACAACGGUCAACAGCAGCAAAGGCAGCACUUUCUGAUUUACUUGACUGCUAUGGAUGCCACCUAUCUCCACGCCUCAGUUUA